rnacentral:rRNA from 1 species
UACGUAGGAUCCGAGCGUUGUCCGGAAUUACUGGGUGUAAAGGGCGUGUAGGUGGAGCUUUAAGUCGGUGGUGAAAGCCUGCAGCUUAACUGCAGAAUUGCCAUCGAUACUGGAGCUCUUGAGUACGGCAGAGGGAAAUGGAAUUCAUGGUGUAGCGGUGAAAUGUGUAGAUAUCAUGAAGAACACCGGUAGCGAAGGCGGUUUCCUGGUCCGUAACUGACACUGAGGCGCGAAAGCGUGGGGAGCAAACAGG